ACUGAUUUACUGAGAAUAGCCUCUCAACAGUAGCGCAAGGCUCUUUUAUGAAGAGCCAUUCCCCUAGACCCAGAACAAUUGGAUAGUUUUGGGUCUUUUUUU
rnacentral:sRNA from 1 species